CACUGGGAAGCUAAGUAGGGACUAGCGUUAGCCUUUUAAGCUAAAGAUUGGUGAUUCCCAACCACCCCUAGUGA
rnacentral:tRNA from 1 species